rnacentral:rRNA from 1 species
AACGAACGCUGGCGGCAUGCCUAACACAUGCAAGUCGAACGAGAUCUUCGGGUCUAGUGGCGCACGGGUGCGUAACGCGUGGGAAUCUGCCCUUUGGUUCGGAAUAACAGUUGGAAACGACUGCUAAUACCGGAUGAUGACGAAAGUCCAAAGAUUUAUCGCCAGAGGAUGAGCCCGCGUAGGAUUAGCUAGUUGGUGUGGUAAAGGCGCACCAAGGCGACGAUCCUUAGCUGGUCUGAGAGGAUGAUCAGCCACACUGGGACUGAGACACGGCCCAGACUCCUACGGGAGGCAGCAGGGGGGAAUAUUGGACAAUGGGCGAGAGCCUGAUCCAGCAAUGCCGCGUGAGUGAUGAAGGCCUUAGGGUUGUAAAGCUCUUUUACCCGGGAUGAUAAUGACAGUACCGGGAGAAUAAGCUCCGGCUAACUCCGUGCCAGCCGCCGCGGUAA